rnacentral:rRNA from 1 species
UAAAGUGGCGAACGGCUGAGUAACACGUGGGCAACCUGCCCUUUGCACUGGGAUAGCCUCGGGAAACCGAGGUUAAUACCGGAUACUCCAUAUUUGUCGCAUGGCGAAUAUGGGAAAGCUCCGGCGGCAAAGGAUGGGCCCGCGGCCUGUUAGCUAGUUGGUGGGGUAGUGGCCUACCAAGGCAAUGAUGGGUAGCCGGGUUGAGAGACCGACCGGCCAGAUUGGGACUGAGACACGGCCCAGACUCCUACGGGAGGCACAGGA